GGCCAGGUUAGCGGCAUAAUUUGGGGUUUCUGAAUCCUAAUUUCUGUAGUUGUAAAAUCAGGUAAUGCCACCUACCUCUUGUUGAUCUUGUGAAGGUUGAGAUGUUUGAAUUGCCUUCCACGUUUUCUGACAUAGGAAAUGCUCCUCCAUAAAUGCUGGUGGUCAUUCUGCCUUCGGGUUAUUGUCCUGUAGUUGCCAAAAUGGGUGACAGCUGGGGGCUUUGGUACAAAUGCAGAGUUAUAAAGAAUGGAUUAACCCUAUCUUCCGUUGGAAACCCUGAAGUCCUGUUGCAGAAACAAGAGCUAUCAUUUUAGACAAAUGGAGGAAUGUUAUUUCAAAAUAACUUCUCCAUCAUUUUCAAUCUAAAAUUGUUUUUUCUGGAUUUAGCGGCAACCUAAUGAUUACAGUGAAUUACUUAGCUGCAGCAGUAACUUUAGGCAAGUAACUUCAAGCUUUAGUUUUCCCUUUUUGUAAAAUGGUAUAGUGUAGAGUUUUAGUCCUGUUCCUCACACAUGGUAAUUGAUGAAUGCUAGAGAUUUUUUGUUGUUGUUGUUUGUUUGUUUGAGUCUCGCUCUGUCGCCCAGGCUCGAGUGCAGUGGGGUGAUCUCGGAUCAUUGCAACCUCCGCCUCCCGGGUUCAAGCAAUUCUGCCUCAGCCUCCUGAGUAGCUGGGAUUACAGGCGCACACCACCAUGCCAGGCUAAUUUUUGUAUUUUUAGUAGAGACAGGGUUUCACCAUAUUGGCCAGGUUGGUCUCGAACUCCUGACUUCAUGAUCUGCCCGUCUCAGCCUCCCAAAGUGCUGGGAUUACAGGCGUGAGCCACCGCGUCCGGAUGAGAUAUUUUUAUGAGUAGAAAUAUUUUGUUGUUUGAUGUUUUUGUAAAAUUUAUUUAGAAUAAUCUUGCAGUCUCGAGACUCUGUCUCAAAAAAAAAAAAAAAAAGAAAAAAUAAGCCCUCCCACUCAGAGUUAAUCAUGGCUUUAUUUCUCCUGUCAUAUUUCAUUAGUAUGACCAUUUUUCCUGCUAGUAUCACUUAAAAUUUUUUUUUCUUCCCAUGCGAUACCAUUCAAAUAGUACAAAGAUUUGGCUUAAUGUGAAAUUGGGUCUUCUUUCUACCCCAGUCCCCAGUCUUUUAGUUCUGUGUUACAGAAAAGUACUAUGCGAUUGUUAGCAAUUGUCUCAUGUAGUCUUUCAGAAAUAUUCCAAGUAUAUAAAUAGUAAUAUACUUUGACAUUUUUAUACAUUGAUUUCCCCCUUACAUAUGUUUGAAACACUUCCAUAUCAGUACAUGUAAUCUGACUCAUUCUUGUUAGUAGCUUCAUAAUAGUUAUAUGAAUGCAUUAUAGGUCAUUUCCAGUAUUUUACUUGCUUAGUGUUUUUGGUCAGCAUCAUUUGGAGAUAGUGUGUAAAGUUAAUUUUGACAAAGGCCAAGGCUUUUCAGGUUACAUGUAAUUUUAUGUAAAUCUUACAGGUGAAUAUGAGAAGGGCGUAGACCAUCUGACAAAUGCAAUUGCUGUGUGUGGACAGCCACAGCAGUUACUGCAGGUCUUACAGCAAACUCUUCCACCACCAGUGUUCCAGAUGCUUCUGACUAAGCUCCCAACAAUUAGUCAGAGAAUUGUAAGUGCUCAGAGCUUGGCUGAAGAUGAUGUGGAAUGAGAAACAAAUGUCAACAUAAUAAAAUCUCAGUU
rnacentral:lncRNA from 1 species